UACGGGGGGGGCAAGCGUUGUUCGGAAUUACUGGGCGUAAAGGGCUCGUAGGCGGCCAACUAAGUCGAACGUGAAAUCCCUCAGCUUAACUGGGGAACUGCGUCCGAUACUGAUUGGCUUGAAUCCGGAAGAGGGAUGCGGAAUUCCAGGUGUAGCGGUGAAAUGCGUAGAUAUCUGGAGGAACACCGGUGGCGAAGGCGGCAUCCUGGGUCGGUAUUGACGCAGAGGAGCGAAAGCCAGGGGAGCAAACGGG
rnacentral:rRNA from 1 species